rnacentral:misc_RNA from 1 species
GGAAAGUGUGUUGGGCUUCUUCUACAUAUGGAGUCUUCCCCUGCGUGAUGAUGAGGGAACAACGAAGAUCUAGUGGUGAGUCACAAGCACAAUGGAGAAACUAAGGACAUAUUGCUCAAGUGUGAGAAAGGCAUUGAUCUGAUGAGAAGCUAUCAAAGGAAAAACUGGUGAACUAGCUAUGUUGACACUUUGAGAUCCCCAAUUUGAUUAGAAAAGCAGUAAUGUUGAAUUUUUUCUAGUAUGUGGUGAGAUAUGGGUUUAUUCACAUGAUUUUUGUGAGGGAAGAAACUAAGCUGGA